CACCAGGUUGAUUCUGCCUGACGUAGACGCUAUUCCCUAAUAUUAACCCAUGCAUGUUUUUGACAUUUAUUUGAAAAAUGGACUGCUCAGUAAUACUCACUUUAUUUGAUGUACAUUUGAUGAUAACUACGUUAAAGUGUAGAUAAAAUGUGUACAGUAAGAGUGAGACCUAUCAGCUAGUUGUUAAGGUAAUGGCUUAACAAGGCAGUGACGGGUAACGGUAUUACUUUGUAAUAUUCCGGAGAAGGAGCCUGAGAGACGGCUACUAAGUCUAAGGAUUGCAGCAGGGGCGAAACUUGACCUAUGGAUUUUAUCUGAGGCAGUUAUGGGAAGUAAUAUUAUAUUGUUUCAUAUUGUAAAAGUAUAUGAGGUGAUUAAUUGGAGGGCAAAUCAAGUGCCAGCAGCCGCGGUAAUACUUGUUCCAAGAGUGUGUAUGAUGAUUGAUGCAGUUAAAAAGUCCGUAGUUUAUAUUUAAGAAGCAAUAUGAGGUGUACUGUAUAGUUGGGAGAGAGAUGAAAUGUAACGACCCUGACUGGACGAACAGAAGCGAAAGCUGUACACUUGUAUGUAUUUUUUGAACAAGGACGUAAGCUGGAGGAGCGAAGAUGAUUAGAUACCAUUGUAGUUCCAGCAGUAAACUAUGCCGACGAUGUGAUAUGAUAUUUAUUGUAUUACAUGAUAGAAAUUUGAGUUUUUUGGCUCUGGGGAUAGUAUGAUCGCAAGAUUGAAAAUUAAAGAAAUUGACGGAAGAAUACCACAAGGAGUGGAUUGUGCGGCUUAAUUUGACUCAACGCGAGGUAACUUACCAAUAUUUUAUUAUUCAGAGAGAAUUUUUAAUUUGAGGAUGAUAAUAGUGGUGCAUGGCCGUUUUCAAUGGAUGCUGUGAAGUUUUGAUUAAUUUCAACAAGACGUGAGACCCUUUUUUUAUAUAGACAGACACAAUCAGUGUAGGAAGGAAAGGAUUAAAACAGGUCCGUUAUGCCCUCAGACAUUUUGGGCUGCACGCGCAAUACAAUAGAUAUAUAAUCUUUAUGGGAUAAUAUUUUGUAAGAGAUAUUUGAACUUGGAAUUGCUAGUAAAUUUUAUUAAAUAAGUAGAAUUGAAUGUGUCCCUGUUCUUUGUACACACCGCCCGUCGCUAUCUAAGAUGAUAUGUGUUGUGAAAUUAGUGAAAACUACUUGAACAAUAUGUAUUAGAUCUGAUAUAAGUCGUAACAUGGUUGCUGUUGGAGAACCAUUAGCAGGAUCAUAA
rnacentral:rRNA from 9 species